rnacentral:rRNA from 1 species
UACGUAGGGCGCAAGCGUUGUCCGGAAUUAUUGGGCGUAAAGAGCUCGUAGGCGGUUUGUCGCGUCUGCUGUGAAAACCUAAGGCUCAACCUUGGGCUUGCAGUGGGUACGGGCAGACUAGAGUGCGGUAGGGGUGACUGGAAUUCCUGGUGUAGCGGUGGAAUACGCAGAUAUCAGGAGGAACACCGAUGGCGAAGGCAGGUCACUGGGCCGCAACUGACGCUGAGGAGCGAAAGCAUGGGGAGCGAACAGG